GCUCCGGUGGUGUAGCCCGGCCAAUCAUACCGGCCUUUCGAGCCGGCGACCCGGGUUCAAAUCCCGGCCGGAGCA
rfam:Archaeoglobus veneficus SNP6, complete genome.